rnacentral:rRNA from 1 species
GACGAACGCUGGCGGCGUGCUUAACACAUGCAAGUCGAACGGAAAGGCUCCAGCUUGCUGGAGUACUCGAGUGGCGAACGGGUGGGUAACACGUGGGUAAUCUGCCCUGCACUCUGGGAUAAGCCUGGGAAACUGGGUCUAAUACUGGAUAUGACCUUUCUCCUUAUGGGGUUUGGUGGAAAGUUUUUCGGUGUAGGAUGAGCCCGCGGCCUAUCAGCUUGUUGGUGGGGUGAUGGCCUACCAAGGCGACGACGGGUAGCCGGCCUGAGAGGGUGAUCGGCCACAUUGGGACUGAGAUACGGCCCAGACUCCUACGGGAGGCAGCAGUGGGGAAUAUUGCACAAUGGGCGGAAGCCUGAUGCAGCGACGCCGCGUGAGGGAUGACGGCCUUCGGGUUGUAAACCUCUUUCAGCAGGGACGAAGCGUAAGUGACGGUACCUGCAGAAGAAGCACCGGCUAACUAUGUG